CCUGCUCUUUAAACCCGGCUUAUGCCGACACUAUCAACGUGGGUGUCUGUGACCAACUCCGGGUUUUAUGUUAGUGACCUGAUUCCGUACUAACACGCUCCUCCCAGUUCGGUGAAGCUCCCCAUGUGAUCCGUUCUUCCCCCUAAAUAAAGUUGACAAAUCUGGCUGUGCUCAGAGUGCCGCCGAGGGGGUGCGGAGAGAUUCCCUCCCCGCAGCUGCGGCAGCGCCAGCGGGGCCGGGCCGGGCUCGGGGCUCCAGCACGGCGGGGCUCGGGGCUCCAGCAGCGCUGUCCCCUCCGGAGGAGCCGAGCAGGAUGCGGCCGGAGCGGGAUUCUGAUAGCUGUGGAUACAGAUGAAAUGAGAGACAGGCUCAGGCAAGUAUGACAAGAUCUGAUUUCUCCUAGCACUGAGACAUUCCCCCCUCCUGCACUUCCAUGUGGGUGGUGGACACUUGGCUGCUCCAUAAAUCAGAGGGGGCAUUUCUCAGCUUCUCAAGUUCUUUUAUUGCAGUUUCUUUCUUUAGGCUACUUGAGAAAGAUGUUGAAUAUGUAGCCCAGGAGCACUAAAAUAUUCUGCUGUCACCCCCUCCUGAUCUAUGACUUGCCAGCAGUGCCACACAUAGACAUUCAUCAAAGAUGUGCCACGUUGUACUUGGUCCCUUAUGUGAAAUGAACUUUCAAUCAGCUCCACAAACACCUCAAUUUACAGUAAAAUCUGAUUUUCAAACUUUCUGUAAAAGCCACAUUUAUUUCUGACUCUGGGAACAUAUUGUUCCAAACUGGCAAGAACUGCUAUUUACAUCCUUUCACAUCAACAGAGUGCUAAUCUACAUAAACAGUCAUUAUUGCUACCAGGAAGGGGCUGUUAAUUAGCAAGAGGGACCCUCAGUUCUCUGCUAGCCUGAGUGGGAUGAACCUCACAUUUCUUUAAAGAGGGUGAAUUACAACUGCACCCCAUCAAACAGAGCAUCUCUGAACAAACAAUUCCACUCCCAAGAUCUCUGAAACCUAAUUUUGGCCUCCAAACAUUUGGGAGGAGGGUGGAGGGGGUUCAGAGCAAGCUGUUAUUUGAAAUAAAUAGCCCUGAACGUGCUUAGAGCUCCUCAAAGUAAAAUAUCCCGGGGCCAAAGCCUGAGUGGAGCAGGAAUGAAGAGCAGCCCAGCUUUGUUCCUCCUCAGAUUUAAGUCUGAAAGGGGAUUUUGAUGAGGGGAGGGAAGUGGGAGGGCAGAGCAGCCCUUGAGAACUGCUCAGAUUAGGAAAUAUUUUGGAUCACACACAGCACGUAUCAAAGCCAAAUUACUUAAAUGUGUUUGAAAUUCCAGCAGAAUUAGGAGGGGUUUUAAAUUCUAAAUUACAGCUCAGUGCCUGUAGGGGAGCUCUUCAAUAAUCCAGUGUCGUUUCUCACCCAGGGGCCUUUUCCAGGCUCCAGAUUUGCAGUGAGGGCACCUCCCCCAGUCCAGGAUAAGGAGGACAAAAAUCCUCAAUCCAAACCCUCUCCAGACAAGCCCUGUCUGAGAGCAAAUAUCAGAGAGGAGGGGAAAUCAAACCCCUUCAUGAGAGCUCCUGUUUGCAGCUGAUUUUGUUCCUGUGUGUGAUGUGAGCAAAUCCAAGUCUCAAAACCUGCCUUUGGCGUCAUCCUCUUUUGGGAAUAUCUGGGAGAAGAAAAGAAACAGUGCAGCAAUUCCUAAGAUAUAAAGUCCACUUGUUGCAGUGCCUUGAGUCCAAGGAUAAGCUCUGCCACCACAGUGUUACUGGAAUAUUGAUUUGAUUUUCUCCAAUUCUCUUCUGCAGAACACAAAGAAUCCCAGACUGGCACUGGGUGACCCUUGGUGAAGGAGACAACACAUUCCUGACCUCCUGACUUGGGAUACAGAGGAGCUGUGCUGUAAACUUUGUGCCACAGGCUGUUCUUCCUGCAAUCCCUGCCUUCCAAAAGAAAGAACAUUUUUGAUCUCAUCCAUGACUGGAGAACCUGAGGAGGAAACCAUCUCCUGGAUGACACAGGUGCCAAGGGAAUCAUAGUUCUUGCUUCUCUGGGAAUUCCCAGAACAGCUCCUGAAUCCCAAUGAGGCCCAGGUUCAAAGAGGUCCCUGGACCUGCACUUUUGGCUUCACCAGUCUAUGAGAACUUUGCUAAGUUGAAUACAACAAGGGACACUGAGAGUGAGCAGCUGGAGGGGUCCCUGUCGUCCACCAUCGCGCUGAUCGUCGUGCUGACCAUCAUCUUCUCCCUGCUGAUGACAUCCCUAAUAACCUACUGCUUCCACAAGUGGAAACUCAGAGGGAGAAGACUGCAGAAAGCACAAGAGGAGUAUCAGAAAGACCACGAAAAGAGCAUUUGCCAAAGCACACCUGGACUUUUUUCAUAAAAAAAAAAAAAAUGAAAGAAAAGGAUCCACCACAAAGAACUCUUGAAUUACCUGGAAAUGAAAAUAACGAAAGAACUGCAACAAUGAGAUUUCCAAGCAAAUACAUCAUUGUUUUAUCUAAAUUCUAAGAGUUGUUAGCAGUUUGGAGAUUUCCUACAGCUUUAUUAUACAUAUAUAUAUAUAUAUAUAUUUAUAUAUUUAGUCUCAUUUGUGCAAAGUAGAACCAACACAGUCACAUAUCUCUAAUCUCUUUUGUCAUUUUAAUCUCUCCACAACCUCUCUGGGGAACCUGUGGCAGUGAUUCCUGGCUGGGAGGGUGGGCAGGCCCUGGCACAGGUUGCCCAGAGAAGCUGUGGCUGCCCCUGGAUCCCUGGGAGUGUCCAAGGCCAGGCUGGAGCGACCUGGGCCAGUGGAAGGUGUCUCUGCCAUGGCAGGGGUGAGACUGGAUGGGCUUUUAAGUCCUGCCCAACUCUAAACAUUAUUCUGCGUAUUUCCUAAAUCAGUAAGUUCAAAUCUGCUGCUCAGACUCUUUUAAAAAUCCACCAAAAAAUGGUCAGAUUUUGGGCCAUGCAAACCAACUGAUCCAACCCAGUGGAGUUGUGUUGUCCUGCACUGACAUAACCAUGGGCUGAAGGGGAGAACAGCUCCUGUCUUCAGUGACACUCCAAGCAGGACCAAACCCCAAAUUUAAGUCAGGAUUUUCUGAGAGGUGCUCGUGGCAUUCCAGCCACAAGUGGAUCAAGGACAUCCCACCCAGCUUCCCAAGGGCAGAGCAGGACCACCACCCUUUUUUAACCAGGCUUCCAAUUCUUUUUAAACCAACCAUUCCCCAGUGUGUUUCUAUUUGCAGAGCCUGUAAUAUCAUGUCACAGAGAAACGACAGAUUUAUCGUGAGUAGCAUCUCUAAGUCAUAUUUUCUAACAAAGUGAUGGGUGUAAUAUUAAUAGAUGUAACUGUUUUACAGAGUAGAAACCAUGUAAAGUUACCACCAAGCCUCCUGCUCAAGGAUAUAACUUGCUUGCAAUUACCAGUAACGCUGUGUGUAUUUUUAAACAAGCUAUAAUACUGUGAUGAUGCUGUAAAUUUACUUCUGUAGGCAAAAAAAAAAAAAAAAAAUUCUAUUUAAAAAUGUCAAGAUGAAAGAUGUAAAUGUUCUGAAAGUGCUACCAACUAAAAAUAUGAAUUUUCACAGAAUAUUCUAAAGGUUCUGUUCCAUGCUACAAAUAUAUUUUACAAAGGUAUUUAUGGGUCAUACACACCAGUCUGUGAGAACAGUACUAUUUUAUUACAAAGCAAAUACAUGAAUAAACAAGCAGUGAAUAUCCAUGCCCAGAA